UGGGGAAUUUUGGACAAUGGACGCAAGUCUGAUCCAGCCAUACCGCGUGCGGGAAGAAGGCCUUCGGGUUGUAAACCGCUUUUGUCAGGGAAGAAACGAGUUUCUCUAAUACAGAGACUUAAUGACGGUACCUGAAGAAUAAGCACCGGCUAACUACGUGCCAGCAGCCGCGGUAAUACGUAGGGUGCAAGCGUUAAUCGGAAUUACUGGGCGUAAAGCGUGCGCAGGCGGUUAUGUAAGACAGAUGUGAAAUCCCCGGGCUCAACCUGGGACCUGCAUUUGUGACUGCAUAGCUAGAGUACGGCAGAGGGGGAUGGAAUUCCGCGUGUAGCAGUGAAAUGCGUAGAUAUGCGGAGGAACACCGAUGGCGAAGGCAAUCCCCUGGGCCUGUACUGACGCUCAUGCACGGAAGCGUGGGGAGCAAACA
rnacentral:rRNA from 1 species